rnacentral:lncRNA from 1 species
AUGUUUUUAACGACAUUGUUGACUCCUCUUUCGCAUCUAUCAUUGUCAAUUUACCCUUUUAUUUCAACAUUUUCCUACAAAGAAGAAAUAAGAAUUUAGAGCAAUACAAACAUAGAACUGAAAAUAGGCAAAGAGGAAAAAGAAAAAAAGAUAAAAUAUUUAAAAAUAGUAAAUUAUGUGCACUUGCCGAUAGAGUUACAAUAUAAGAUCAGACCA